GGAUUUUCGUGCCCGACCUGUCGCAUGCCCAACAAAGUGGAAGUGUCAGAAAACAUUUCACCAAAAAUGGCCGCCGCUGGGUUUCCUAUCAAUCAUAUGAUAAUGACUUUACUUGAUCAGAGGGACAUAGAAAAUAAAGAUGUCAGUUGCAACCCAUGCUCUAAAAGAGGCCGAAAGGAACCUGGCAAGUUUUGGUGUUAUUCCUGUAGUGCAGCGCUAUGCGAGGCUUGUGGAGAGUUCCACACGUCAUUACCAAUCCUUGCUGAUCACAGAAUUGCUCCGUUAGAAGACUCAUCAGAUGUUCCAGUCCUUGCCUCGACUGCGCACGAUGUAUGUGAGAUCCACGCCGGAAAGAAACUAGAAAUGUUCUGCCAAGACCACGAUGUUGCUUGCUGUGCAACAUGCACAAUGGUUAACCAUAGGAAAUGCGAAACAGUCAUAACACUCUUUGAUGCAGCGAAAAGUUUCAAAGAUACAUCAGCUAACACGACUGAAAGCGUUGUUAAAGAAAUACAGUCCUUGAUUGAGCAGUUUGAUGUUAAAAUAGCAGAUUGCACUAAAGAGUAUGAAACACUAGAAUCAGCUACUGAGAGUCGAACAAAGGAAAUACAAGAAUUUAGUGACAAAAUUAUUAAUCAUGCUGACAAACUGAAAUCGGACUUUGAUCUUAAUCUGGCAGAGGCUAAGUCAAAGAAGAUGAUGGAAAUUCAAAACCGAAAGAAAGAGCUCUCAAACAUGCAAAAUAUGUUGUCAAAUUGUGAAGGCAUAUUAAAUGCUGUUGAUGAAAAGUGCUCGAAAAUUCAGAUGUUGACAAUAAUUCCGAACCUAAUCAAACUUCGUGAUGAAAGCAGUGCCAAACUAGAAGAAAUUAAGCAAAACCCUAUCACUCAGAACAUAGAGGUUGUCAUUGAUCAAAGAAUUGAAGAUUGUGCAAAAGUGGAGUCCCUUGGAAAGUUGAUAGAAAACUGAAUAUAAUGUUGAUAGAAAACUGAAUAACAUGUAACUAAAAAGUCUUUACAUUUGUUUGAGCAUUGAAAUGUAACAGUUUAAUAAAUUGUGGACAUAAUU
rnacentral:misc_RNA from 1 species